UGCCUAAUCAUGCAAGUCGAGCGAACUGCAUUAGAAGCUUGCUUCUAUGACGUUAGCCGGCGGACGGGUGAGUAACACGUGGGCAACCUGCCUGUAAGACUGGGAUAACUUCGGGAAACCGAAGCUAAUACCGGAUAGGAUCUUCUCCUUCAUGGGAGAUGAUUGAAAGAUGGUUUCGGCUAUCACUUACAGAUGGGCCCGCGGUGCAUUAGCUAGUUGGUGAGGUAACGGCUCACCAAGGCAACGAUGCAUAGCCGACCUGAGAGGGUGAUCGGCCACACUGGGACUGAGACACGGCCCAGACUCCUACGGGAGGCAGCAGUAGGGAAUCUUCCGCAAUGGACGAAAGUCUGACGGAGCAACGCCGCGUGAGUGAUGAAGGCUUUCGGGUCGUAAAACUCUGUUGUUAGGGAAGAACAAGUACGAGAGUAACUGCUCGUACCUUGACGGUACCUAACCAGAAAGCCACGGCUAACUACGU
rnacentral:rRNA from 1 species